UCUGGAGAUCUCGAGUAAGCUCCGCACUUCGGUGCGCGAGUCGAAAGAGUCUCAGAAGUCGCCCGCACCGCUCUCACUCACCUCACUUCUCCUGCUCUUUGACAAUCGAUGAUGGAUGGUGUGUGGACGAGCUCGCGAGAGCUGGUCCAGUGUGAGGGAAUCAACACCGGUGUCUCACGCGCAUCGCGUGCGUGAGAGACACGAAUUUGAGAUCAAACGCAAUAAGGCACACGGUGGAUGCCUUGGCAUCGAGAGGCGAUGAAGGACGUGCUAAGCUGCGAUAAGCCUGGGGGAGUCGCACAGAGACCGUGAUCCCAGGAUGUCCG
rnacentral:misc_RNA from 1 species